GCAGUCGAGCGGUAACAGAUCCAGCUUGCUGGAUGCUGACGAGCGGCGGACGGGUGAGUAAUGCAUAGGAAUCUGCCCGAUAGUGGGGGAUAACCUGGGGAAACCCAGGCUAAUACCGCAUACGUCCUACGGGAGAAAGGGGGCUCCGGCUCCCGCUAUGGGAUGAGCCUAUGUCGGAUUAGCUAGUUGGUGAGGUAACGGCUCACCAAGGCGACGAUCCGUAGCUGGUCUGAGAGGAUGAUCAGCCACAUCGGGACUGAGACACGGCCCGAACUCCUACGGGAGGCAGCAGUGGGGAAUAUUGGACAAUGGGGGAAACCCUGAUCCAGCCAUGCCGCGUGUGUGAAGAAGGCCCUCGGGUUGUAAAGCACUUUCAGCGAGGAAGAACGCCUAGCGGUUAAUACCCGCUAGGAAAGACAUCACUCGCAGAAGAAGCACCGGCUAACUCCGUGCCAGCAGCCGCGGUAAUACGGAGGGUGCAAGCGUUAAUCGGAAUUACUGGGCGUAAAGCGCGCGUAGGUGGCUUGAUAAGCCGGUUGUGAAAGCCCCGGGCUCAACCUGGGAACGGCAUCCGGAACUGUCAAGCUAGAGUGCAGGAGAGGAAGGUAGAAUUCCCGGUGUAGCGGUGAAAUGCGUAGAGAUCGGGAGGAAUACCAGUGGCGAAGCGGGCUUCUGGACUGACACUGACACUGACGUGCGAAAGCGUGGGUA
rnacentral:rRNA from 1 species